rnacentral:rRNA from 1 species
GCAAGUCGAGCGGUAGCACAGAGAGCUUGCUCUCGGGUGACGAGCGGCGGACGGUUGAGUAAUGUCUGGGAAACUGCCUGAUGGAGGGGGAUCACUACUGGAAACGGUAGCUAAUACCGCAUAAUGUCGCAAGACCAAAGUGGGGGACCUUCGGGCCUCAUGCCAUCAGAUGUGCCCAGAUGGGAUUAGCUAGUAGGUGGGGUAACGGCUCACCUAGGCGACGAUCCCUAGCUGGUCUGAGAGGAUGACCAGCCACACUGGAACUGAGACACGGUCCAGACUCCUACGGGAGGCAGCAGUGGGGAAUAUUGCACAAUGGGCGCAAGCCUGAUGCAGCCAUGCCGCGUGUGUGAAGAAGGCCUUCGGGUUGUAAAGCACUUUCAGCGGGGAGGAAGGCGAUAAGGUUAAUAACCUUGUCGAUUGACGUUACCCGCAGAAGAAGCACCGGCUAACUCCGUGCCAGCAGCCGCGGUAAUACGGAGGGUGCAAGCGUUAAUCGGAAUUACUGGGCGUAAAGCGCACGCAGGCGGUCUGUCAAGUCGGAUGUGAAAUCCCCGGGCUCAACCUGGGAACUGCAUUCGAAACUGGCAGGCUAGAGUCUUGUAGAGGGGGGUAGAAUUCCAGGUGUAGCGGUGAAAUGCGUAGAGAUCUGGAGGAAUACCGGUGGCGAAGGCGGCCCCCUGGACAAAGACUGACGCUCAGGUGCGAAAGCGUGGGGAGCAAACAGGAUUAGAUACCCUGGUAGUCCACGCCGUAAACGAUGUCGAUUUGGAGGUUGUGCCCUUGAGGCGUGGCUUCCGGAGCUAACGCGUUAAAUCGACCGCCUGGGGAGUACGGCCGCAAGGUUAAAACUCAAAUGAAUUGACGGGGGCCCGCACAAGCGGUGGAGCAUGUGGUUUAAUUCGAUGCAACGCGAAGAACCUUACCUGGUCUUGACAUCCACAGAACUUAGCAGAGAUGCUUUGGUGCCUUCGGGAACUGUGAGACAGGUGCUGCAUGGCUGUCGUCAGC